CCGGAGCUUGCUCCACCGGAAAAAGAGGAGUGGCGAACGGGUGAGUAACACGUGGGUAACCUGCCCAUCAGAAGGGGAUAACACUUGGAAACAGGUGCUAAUACCGUAUAACAAUCGAAACCGCAUGGNUUUGAUUUGAAAGGCGCUUUCGGGUGUCGCUGAUGGAUGGACCCGCGGUGCAUUAGCUAGUUGGUGAGGUAACGGCUCACCAAGGCCACGAUGCAUAGCCGACCUGAGAGGGUGAUCGGCCACAUUGGGACUGAGACACGGCCCAAACUCCUACGGGAGGCAGCAGUAGGGAAUCUUCGGCAAUGGACGAAAGUCUGACCGAGCAACGCCGCGUGAGUGAAGAAGGUUUUCGGAUCGUAAAACUCUGUUGUUAGAGAAGAAUAAGGAUGAGAGUAACUGUUCAUCCCUUGACGGUAUCUAACCAGAAAGCCACGGCUAACUACGUGCCAGCGAGCCGCGGUAAUACGUAGGUGGCAAGCGUUGUCCGGAUUUAUUGGGCGUAAAGCGAGCGCAGGCGGUUUCUUAAGUCUGAGGUGAAAGCCCCCGGCUCAACCGGGGAGGGUCAUUGGAAACUGGGAGACUUGAGUGCA
rnacentral:rRNA from 1 species